GACGGAUGAAAUCGGCCCUGUAAUAUCAAGUAGAUAGUGAUAUUGUCAACCAAAGACUGAAGUUGUUCUGAAUUAAGACAGUAGUGAAAAUAAAAAAUGGCUGCGGCGAUAUUAUCGCGCGUGGAUCAAAGCCAUAACAUUGACAAACUAGUUCGCGUUGGUCCAUAUGAGCUGCUUAAGACGAUUGGAAAAGGAAAUUUCGCUGUUGUGAAAUUAGCAGUUCACAAUAUCACAAAAUCACAGGUGGCAAUAAAAAUUGUGGACAAAACUAAACUUGAUGAUGAUAACUUAAGGAAAACCUAUCGAGAAGUGGAUGUCAUGAAGAAGUUAAAGCAUCCAAACAUUAUCAAACUUUACCAAGUCAUGCAAACAGAUAAAAUGCUUUAUCUUGUGACAGAAUAUGUUCCAGGGGGUGAAAUAUUUGACUAUCUAGUUGCCAAUGGACGGAUGACAGAAAAAGAAGCUAGGAGAGUUUUCAAACAGAUACUGGCAGCAGUUGGUUACUGUCACAAAUGCUGUGUUGUUCACAGAGAUCUAAAAGCUGAAAAUCUUUUACUUGAUGCAAAAAUGAACAUUAAGCUUGCAGAUUUUGGCUUCAGCAACUAUUAUCAACCUGGUCAGUUACUCUCAACAUGGUGUGGUAGCCCUCCCUAUGCAGCUCCUGAACUGUUUGAAGGGAAAGAAUAUGAUGGGCCAAAGGCUGAUAUAUGGAGUCUGGGCGUAGUUCUGUAUGUACUAGUGUGCGGUGCUUUACCGUUUGAUGGUUCCACUCUUCAGCUCCUUCGCAGCCGCGUGCUGUCCGGGAUAUUCCGUAUCCCAUAUUUCAUGACGACAGAUUGUGAACACUUAAUACGACACAUGCUAAUAGUAGAUCCCGAUCGACGGCUGAGUAUUCCGCAAAUUCUUCAACAUCGAUGGCUCAUAAUGGAUGAUGAUGGGCGAGCUGGACCCGACAAGUCUUCUGAAGUGAAUGGUGACCUUCCGGCAGACGAUCAUAUAUUAGUCAAUGAAUCGAUCGUCGACACAAUGCUGAAAAUACCGGGUUUAGAUAGGGAAAUCAUUCUAAAAUCUGUGCAGGAAAGACGCUUCGACCCGAUCAGUGCAGUGUAUCAUUUAUUAGAUGAUACGUCAGUAGCAAAAUCGAACAGUUCUUCGAAUAUUACAAAUGAUUUUACUCACACCGCUACCCCAGCAGCAGGUUGGCCAAGCUUGAGCGAUAGCCAGCAUUUAGAAAAAUUUGUAGAUAUGGAUUUAGAUGAACCUAAACAACCAAGGGCAUCCACGAGCGGAAACGAUGGGCCAAGCAAGCAAAGUGGCGAAAGAAAUUUGGCUACUCGACGGCAUACGGUUGGACCAAGUGAAACAGCUCACGAUCAAGUGAUGGGAAAACAUUUGAAACUCGAUCAUUCUGGUGCGAGAGGAGCUCCUUCCUUCUAUCCGGCUACGGGUUUCACCGCCCUUGGUUACAGUCCUCUAAAUCUGCCGUCGCACGUGGCUUUUAAUCCAAACACAGGGCUGAAUAACAUUUUUGAUACACGGCCAGGAUUUUUACCAAAUUUUGAGUUAAACAUGCGCUCACCGGCCACAGUUCCAUCAACGUUGAAUACGCAGUUCCCCACUCUCUCUGGUGUCCAAAACUCAUCUGGUAUGCAUCAUGGAGCUUCGUUUGCGUCACCUUCCCAUCCUAUGUCAAUGUUGCCGCACACUAAUCUCCCGCUGAUGCUGCCGUUACUGCAGAAUGAACCCCCGCACAAUUUUAGCGUCAAGGAUCAACAUUUACUAAAACCCCCAUCAGCAAUGGGAGCAGCAGGAGGGUUCGGUCGUCGGGCAUCGGAUGGCGGUGCCAAUCUGUUAACUUUCUUUCAAAAGAAUAUAGAACACAGUGACUGGAGUACUGUGCAGCAACAAAAGCAGCAGUCCAUCCAUAUGGACUCUGUGCAUCACCUUUCGAAUCCAUUGGCGAUUAAUACCUCAUCCACCCCAUCUCAUGUUUCCCCAGGAAGUCAAACUGCAGAGUCAUUGGAAGAUUCCUCCAACUCGGUUGAGCUAACAAGGUAUAUACAUAGGGGAAAGCGGCAUACAUUGCCCAUGGCUAAUCCAGAGGAAACUCAAUGUCUUCAACAGCCGGCCUCUACCAGAAUGCGUAAACAGGGUUUAGUUCCCAUGCAUCGACCGUCAGUGAUCAGUCCCGAGCUAAUGAUUGAAGUGGAAGCUCGAAUGAACCGUCAGUACACGCCACCUAGUCUCCUUCCAGGCAAUCCCGCCCCUUCUACAAGCAUGAGCAUGAAUAACUGUGUAGGUGUGCCUCCAAAUACUCAAGCUCGUCCUAUUCCCAAGAUUCGACGCUCAGGCUUGGCAACUGUCAUGGAAGGGCCCGGUCCCAUAUUCAUAGGACGUGAUGGUUUGGUACGCGGCGAUAUGAACGUACUGACACUACCAUCAGAACGUUACCCACGGCGGGCUAGUGACGGAUGCGCAUCAAUUGGCCAAUACCGAAUGUCAGAGAGAGAGGGUGAAGAUUCUAAUAGCACAACCGGCAAUGUUUCCUCGGCUUCUCAGCUCAAAGCUAUACAACAAGAAUACCAAGCAUUACAACGCCAAAUGGUAAGCACCAAUAGCAACGACAUGCAGAUGCGACAUGCCAUUCACGUACAGCAGAGGCAACAACAACAGCAACAGCAGCAAAUGUCUCCUCGAAUGACCCCGACGCCCCCACCUACGUCGACGUCACCAGUUGCAUCAGAUUUUUGUGCCAUCAAUUCGCCCCAUUACCUGAACCACAUGUGUUGCGAAAGUGGGACUCUUUCUCAGCAUCUCCAGCAGUUACAACUUCAACAACAACAGCAAAAACAAAUCCCUCCACCUGCACAGUCCACGCUAUUGCAAUCCUACAGCCAGUCUCCGCCUGUUACUGGUGUGCCUGGUUGCUGUGGCUCCAAUGUUGGUGGGUCAAUAGUGCAAGGUACGGGCCGCCCAAUGGGUUCCAUUGUUCAAGGAACGCCAAUUGUAUCUCAAGGAUCUCUUGUGUCAGCAACGCCUUCGCUUGGAUUCUUCAACAUAGAAAACGCUCAGAAUUCGGUCAUAAUGCCACGAGUUCAAGGAGGUUCUAUUAUCCAAGGAACUCCAUAUACUCUUCCGACAGUGCCAAAUAAACUGGACGUCUUCGCUAAUCAGGCUCCGACGUUGAUGCCAAUUUCAACAUUUGCAGGAGGAUCUAUAACGCAAGGAACACCGGUGAACCGCAUGGUUGAAGUGGAGGAUAUGGAAGCAGAUGCGACUGAAGACGAUACUAAUCCAGCGGAAGAGGCUUUAGACUUGAGUGUUAGAAAUUUUAAAAAUCGGACGAAGAACGAAUGGACGUGCCAACGAGAGGUUGAAAGAAAACCAAUGUUUACCGGUCCACCUCACCCUCAGAUCUCCAUUACGGACGAGCAGGGUGAAGUGACUGACAUGUCAUGGAGUGUGUAUGCCCAUUUAAGCGGCAAAAACGGUACCUGUCGUCAGGUGGGCUUACAGAAUCUUCAGAACGACGUGCUUUCCUCGUCUUUGUUGGCUGGUGAUAUAAGUUCUAUGGCAGCCUAUCCCGAGUUGCAUAAAUCUUCCAGUGGAUCUAUCGAAGUACAGCUUUCAUCCGACUGUUCGCAGUUGACUGUUGCAGAAAUUUUUGCCUUGAUCAAACGCUCGAUUCACACCAAGGCUUCGGGACUGGUGUCGCGUCAGAUGGAAGAUGAUGCUGCACUCGUGCUCGAACGACCCGGAGAAGAUAUUUAUAUUGCUGUCGAAGUUAGCCCACCUGCUGGACCAGAAGGUUUAAAGGGCUUGAAAAUCCGUCGUAUAUCGGGCGAUUAUGUCCGUUACGAUCGUAUAUGUAAUGAGCUGAUUGCUUGUAUCAGCAUGUAACUAAUCCCCUCCUAUUCCUUUGUGUGUUUGUUUUGUUUGUGUGCGUGUGUGUGUGUGUUUGUGUUUGUGCGUGGUUGGAUGAACAACUCUCCCCAACUAUCCCUACUCCCCAUUGAACGAUAGCCUGGACGCGCUUGCCCUUGCAAUCCAUUCCGAUCGUUAGCAGAAAUUAUGCGUACAACGCAUUGUAUAUUUUGGGUCUGUUUUGUUUGUAUGCGUAUGCGUGCUUCGUCAAAUGUCGUCUCGGAAACCGUGCUAGUCGCAAGCAACCAGUUUGAGUGAGCAAUUGAUAUGACAGGACAUUCCCCGUCUUACAUUUCCCACCUUUCUGUUAAGUUUUUAGCAACGCCUUUUUCUCUUUUUAUGGGUUUGCUUUAAGGCAGGUCCUGCAAUUCUCGAUUUUUUUAAUUUUGUCUUUGUUAAUCUUGCCCUGUUGCACGAUAUUCAUGAAUUUCUCUAAUCAGAACUCAUAUUGAGACAGGUCUAUAGACAUUUUACGCAAAGCAUUUAUCUAUUAUAAGCUAAUAGAUUUGCAUCUGUCAAACUUGAGAUAUAUUUUCCCCCUCAUACGUAUCGCUUGACUAAUGAAGCUAGACCUUGUUCUUCCUUCCUUCUCUACUGUACUCUUUCGUAAUCAAUACUUCAUGCACUUCGAACGUCGGGAAAAUCGUUCACCUUCGCACACCGCAUUCCGCCGUCAAUGUGAUUACUCAACAAACAGGAUUCCGUUUGCAAUGCCCCGAAGAGUCUAAUGUCAUUACGUCGUUGUAAACACGUUUCAAGUUAAAAUUACGUCUCUGGGGACGAAGGGUUGGAAAGAGGCAUUUUAUCGUAUAUGACUGUUAAAAUAAAAGAUUUGAUCCGAGAA
rnacentral:misc_RNA from 1 species